rfam:Ferret coronavirus isolate FRCoV-NL-2010, complete genome
CCUGUAUCUAAUAAAAUUGAACAUGAUGAUUUAUAAGAAGAUCUUCGGGCGAGUACCGCUAGAUCUACUCUUACACAGAAUGGUAAGCACGUAUCUAUGCAGGGUGUAAGUAACUCAUAGAUAUAUUAGGAAGUUUAGAUUGAACUAUUCAAUACUAGAUUGAAAAAUUGAGAGUAAUUUAAAGAUCCGCUUAGACGAGCCAACAAUGGAAGGGCUCAACUUUUGGAUCUAGUCACUUGUUUAUAGUAAAUUGAUGAUAAUUCUCCUUUUGAUAGUGAUACAC